UACGGAGGGUGCGAGCGUUGUCCGGAAUCACUGGGCGUAAAGGGCUCGUAGGCGGCCAACUAAGUCCGACGUGAAAUCCCCAGGCUUAACCUGGGAACUGCGUCGGAUACUGGAUGGCUUGAAUUCGGGAGAGGGAUGCAGAAUUCCAGGUGUAGCGGUGAAAUGCGUAGAUAUCUGGAGGAACACCGGUGGCGAAGGCGGCAUCCUGGACCGACAUUGACGCUGAGGCGCGAAAGCCAGGGGAGCAAACGGG
rnacentral:rRNA from 1 species